rnacentral:rRNA from 1 species
UACGUAGGGUGCGAGCGUUGUCCGGAAUUAUUGGGCGUAAAGGGCUCGUAGGCGGUUUGUCGCGUCGGGAGUGAAAACCAGGUGCUUAACACCUGGCUUGCUUUCGAUACGGGCAGACUAGAGGUAUUCAGGGGAGAACGGAAUUCCUGGUGUAGCGGUGAAAUGCGCAGAUAUCAGGAGGAACACCGGUGGCGAAGGCGGCAUCCUGGACCGGUAUUGACGCUGAGGCGCGAAAGCUAGGGGAGCAAACGGG